rnacentral:rRNA from 1 species
UACGAAGGGGGCUAGCGUUGUUCGGAAUUACUGGGCGUAAAGCGCACGUAGGCGGGUUGUUAAGUCAGGGGUGAAAUCCUGGAGCUCAACUCCAGAACUGCCUUUGAUACUGAGAAUCUUGAGUUCGGGAGAGGUGAGUGGAACUGCGAGUGUAGAGGUGAAAUUCGUAGAUAUUCGCAAGAACACCAGUGGCGAAGGCGGCUCACUGGCCCGAUACUGACGCUGAGGCACGAAAGCGUGGGGAGCAAACAGG